CAGCAUUCUGUUUUUAAAUUAGUUUUCGCAUUUUCAGAGUCCAUUUAUUUUGAGGAGGCGUAUCCAGUUUGUGCUGCUAUUCUUAUACACAAAAGUAAAUGCAGAUUAACGUGAUAUACGAGUUUACGAAGAUGAUGUCUGCCACAUAUGAAUACCCUUUACACAGAACGCAAAUGAUUACGCCAGCAAUAUCGCUAACUGAUAGCGACCCCGAAAGAUUGAAAGACAAAGUCGACCACUGCAGUAUUCGAACGCAGAACGGCACAGUCGAAAGAAA